UAAAAGGCAAAACAAAGUAAGACAAAAAGGGUAUUUCUUUUCCAAGUUAUUUUUUGCCACUAUUAGGUGAAUUUAAACUGGCUUUUGUCAUUUAAUGAAAUGAAUUUCUGAGCUUUAUGAACUCAAAUGACAUUGUACCACAAUGCAAUCGGGAGCUAGCAUGCUCACUGCUUGGAAGGCUAACUAGAUUUAAAUCGGAUGUUUUUCCUAUAUUUUUCAACGGUUUGUGCAUUAUUCAUUGGUAAACUAAUGGGAAAAGGCCGUAUCAGUUGGUUGAAAUAAAAGAGCCUUUUCUAAUAAAAUGAAAUCUCUAGCUAAAUUUUUAUAUUUUUCCUUGAUUUAUUUCAGAUUUAUGUUAUUCACUGAAAAAUUCAAGGAAAAAAAAAAGCGCUAAUCUAGGUGUAUUGAGUGACAUAAAACUGCAGGUUGUCAUUUAAUUACGGGUGUGUAGCAAAAUGGAAUCCUGUAUUUGCACGCUAGCUGCUAUGAAAUAGCAUUAUCGCUUGGUUUGAACUUUUUAGUUUAAAGAGUAUUUAAAGAUCAAGCCAACAUCCUCUUAAGUUUUAAAUGUAAAUGCAGCCUAUUGAAGGACUAUUCCACCCUUUUUCCAGUCAUGAUUAUUUUCACGGUAACCGUACUGUUUCCACCUUGUUAAAUGUCAUUUGCUUUAAAUAACAAAACAUAAGUAGUACAUUAAAAUAUCUAAAGAAGGGUGAAUGUAACAAACAGAUUAUAGUGUUUGUGAUGAAAGUAGCUAGCGCAGCCAGAAAAGAAGGUGUUUAUCAUCAGCAUGUCAUUCGCACCAAUCUCGUUUUACUGCGAGGAAUUCUUCUUUUCCAGGAAAAUCGUGAAUCACUGUACCGCAUGUCUGUAUGCGCGGUAGUAAUUACAAGCAUCUGCUCACAGUCAUUUUUGGCAAAGUUUGAUGCUUGAAAAAACAAAAAAAAAGGAAAAGGAACAGCGCUACUGAGGAAAAUGUGGCUUUUUACGUAAUUUCCCCUAUUUCCACCUCUUGUGAUUGUUGGAGUAUGUCGUUAUCCUGGUAAUAAUCACAGUUACUGAGAAAAAAAUAAAUAAAACGGUUCAGUGUGGU